UACGUAGGGUGCAAGCGUUGUCCGGAAUUAUUGGGCGUAAAGAGCUCGUAGGUGGUUUGUUACGUCCGCUGUGAAAUCCUAGGGCUUAACCCUGGGCUUGCAGUGGGUACGGGCAGACUAGAGUGCGGUAGGGGAGACUGGAAUUCCUGGUGUAGCGGUGAAAUGCGCAGAUAUCAGGAGGAACACCGGUGGCGAAGGCGGGUCUCUGGGCCGUAACUGACGCUGAGGAGCGAAAGCAUGGGGAGCGAACAGG
rnacentral:rRNA from 1 species